CCUACGGGAGGCUGCAGUGGGGAAUAUUGCACAAUGGGGGAAACCCUGAUGCAGCAAUGCCGCGUGAGUGAAGAAGUAUUUCGGUAUGUAAAGCUCUAUCAGCAGGGAAGAAGAUGACGGUACCUGACCAAGAAGCCCCGGCUAACUACGUGCCAGCAGCCGCGGUAAUACGUAGGGGGCAAGCGUUAUCCGGAUUUACUGGGUGUAAAGGGAGCGUAGACGGCAGCACAAGUCUGGAGUGAAAUCCCGGGGCUUAACCCCGGAACUGCUUUGGAAACUGUGCGGCUGGAGGGCAGGAGGGGUAAGCGGAAUUCCUAGUGUAGCGGUGAAAUGCGUAGAUAUUAGGAGGAACACCGGUGGCGAAGGCGGCUUACUGGACUGUAACUGACGUUGAGGCUCGAAAGCGUGGGGAGCAAACAGGAUUAGAUACCCCAGUAGUC
rnacentral:rRNA from 1 species